UCCUGGUUAACCCAGGCAGUCUCACUAGAGUUCCCACCAUUACGUGUUGGCAACUAAUGAUAAGGGUUGCGCUCGUUGCUGGACUUAACCAAACACCUCACGGCACGAGCUGACGACAGCCAUGCAGCACCUGUGCAGCGGCCCCGAAGGGAGAUGUUAUUUCUAACACUGUCCACUGCAUGUCAAACCUGGGUAAGGUUCUUCGCGUUGCAUCGAAUUAAACCACAUGCUCCACUGCUUGUGCGGGUCCCCGUCAAUUCUUUUGAGUUUCACCCUUGCGAGCGUACUCCCCAGGCGGUAUACUUAUCGCGUUAGCUACGGCACAACUGGGGUUGAGUCCAGUUACACCAAGUAUACAUCGUUUAAGGCUAGGACUAC
rnacentral:misc_RNA from 1 species